rnacentral:rRNA from 1 species
UAGCCGUAAACGAUACUCGCUAGGUGUCGGCCACGGUGCGACCGUUGUCGGUGCCGUAGGGAAGCCGUGAAGCGAGCCACCUGGGAAGUACGGCCGCAAGGCUGAAACUUGAAGGAAUUGGCGGGGGAGGCACAACAACGGGUGGAGCUUGCGGUUUAAUUUGGAUUCAACGCCGGAAAUCUUACCGGGACCGGACAGCAACAUGAAGGCCAAGCUGAAGACUUUGCCGGAUUAGCUGAGAGGAGGUGCAUGGCGUAGUCGUGU